rnacentral:rRNA from 1 species
GCGACACGGUGACGUGGGGGCGGGAUCCCUGAAAACCGGUCUCAGUUCGGAUCGCAGUCUGCAACUCGACUGCGUGAAGGUGGAGUCGCUAGUAAUCGCGGAUCAGCAACGCCGCGGUGAAUGCGUUCCCGGGCCUUGUACACACCGCCCGUCAAGUCAUGAAAGUGGGCAGCACCCGAAGACGGUGGCCUAACCCUUGUGGGGGGAGCCGUCUAAGGUGAGGCUCGUGAUUGGGACUAAGUCGUAACAAGGUAUC